CGAACAGGUAACCCGCCCCCCGCGGGGACACGCCCCACCCCGUCGUGUCUGCAGGUGGGACAGGUGAGAUCAGAACAUGGACUGUGUUACAGGUGUGUUACAGGUGUGUUACAGGUGUGUUACAGGUGUGUUACAGGUGUGUUACAGGUGUGUUACAGGUGUGUUACAGGUGAGAUCAGAACAUGAACUGUGUUACAGGUGUGUUACAGGUGUGUUACAGGUGAGAUCAGAACAUGGACUGUGUUACAGGUGUGUUACAGGUGUGUUACAGGUGUGUUACAGGUGAGAUCAGAACAUGAACUGUGUUACAGGUGUGUUACAGGUGUGUUACAGGUGUGUUACAGGUGUGUUACAGGUGAGAUCAGAACAUGGACUG